UUUACUCAUGGAGCUGAAGUCAGUCGAAGAUACCAGCUGGCUGCAACUGUUUAUUAAAAACACAGCACUGUGCAAACACGAAAGUGGACGUAUACGGUGUGACGCCUGCCCGGUGCCGGAAGGUUAAUUGAUGGGGUCAGCGCAAGCGAAGCUCCUGAUCGAAGCCCCGGUAAACGGCGGCCGUAACUAUAACGGUCCUAAGGUAGCGAAAUUCCUUGUCGGGUAAGUUCCGACCUGCACGAAUGGCGUAAUGAUGGCCAGGCUGUCUCCACCCGAGACUCAGUGAAAUUGAACUCGCUGUGAAGAUGCAGUGUACCCGCGGCAAGACGGAAAGACCCCGUGAACCUUUACUAUAGCUUGACACUGAACAUUGAGCCUUGAUGUGUAGGAUAGGUGGGAGGCUUUGAAGUGUGGACGCCAGUCUGCAUGGAGCCGACCUUGAAAUACCACCCUUUAAUGUUUGAUGUUCUAACGUGGACCCGUGAUCCGGGUUGCGGACAGUGUCUGGUGGGUAGUUUGACUGGGGCGGUCUCCUCCUAAAGAGUAACGGAGGAGCACGAAGGUUGGCUAAUCCUGGUCGGACAUCAGGAGGUUAGUGCAAUGGCAUAAGCCAGCUUGACUGCGAGCGUGACGGCGCGAGCAGGUGCGAAAGCAGGUCAUAGUGAUCCGGUGGUUCUGAAUGGAAGGGCCAUCGCUCAACGGAUAAAAGGUACUCCGGGGAUAACAGGCUGAUACCGCCCAAGAGUUCAUAUCGACGGCGGUGUUUGGCACCUCGAUGUCGGCUCAUCACAUCCUGGGGCUGAAGUAGGUCCCAAGGGUAUGGCUGUUCGCCAUUUAAAGUGGUACGCGAGCUGGGUUUAGAACGUCGUGAGACAGUUCGGUCCCUAUCUGCCGUGGGCGCUGGAGAACUGAGGGGGGCUGCUCCUAGUACGAGAGGACCGGAGUGGACGCAUCACUGGUGUUCGGGUUGUCAUGCCAAUGGCACUGCCCGGUAGCUAAAUGCGGAAGAGAUAAGUGCUGAAAGCAUCUAAGCACGAAACUUGCCCCGAGAUGAGUUCUCCCUGAGACUUUAGGUCUCCUGAAGGAACGUUGAAGACGACGACGUUGAUAGGCCGGGUGUGUAAGCGCAGCGAUGCGUUGAGCUAACCGGUACUAAUGAACCGUGAGGCUUAACCUUACAACGCCGAAG
rnacentral:rRNA from 1 species